UGGGGAAUUUUGGACAAUGGGCGAAAGCCUGAUCCAGCAAUGCCGCGUGUGUGAAGAAGGCCUUCGGGUUGUAAAGCACUUUUGUCCGGAAAGAAAUCCUUGGCUCUAAUACAGUCGGGGGAUGACGGUACCGGAAGAAUAAGCACCGGCUAACUACGUGCCAGCAGCCGCGGUAAUACGUAGGGUGCAAGCGUUAAUCGGAAUUACUGGGCGUAAGCGUGCGCAGGCGGUUUGCUAAGACCGAUGUGAAAUCCCCGGGCUCAACCUGGGAACUGCAUUGGUGACUGGCAGGCUAGAGUAUGGCAGAGGGGGGUAGAAUUCCACGUGUAGCAGUGAAAUGCGUAGAGAUGUGGAGGAAUACCGAUGGCGAAGGCAGCCCCCUGGGCCAAUACUGACGCUCAUGCACGAAAGCAUGGGGAGCAAACAGGAUUAGAUACCCUGGUAGUCCACGCCCUAAACGAUGUCAACUAGUUGUUGGGGACUUCAUUUCCUUAGUAACGUAGCUAACGCGUGAAGUU
rnacentral:rRNA from 1 species